AGGAAUUAGAUUUGAUUAGGAGGAGGGGGAGGUAAACAGUAGAGGAGUGAAGAAGGCAGGUAAAGAGGGAAUUAGAUUUGAUUAGGAGGAGGGGGAGGUAAACAGUAGAGGAGUGAAGAAGGCAGGUAAAGAGGGAAUUAGAUUUGAUUAGGAGGAGGGGGAGGUAAACAGUAGAGGAGUGAAGAAGGCAGGUAAAGAGGGAAUUAGAUUUGAUUAGGAGGAGGGGGAGGUAAACAGUAGAGGAGUGAAGAAGGCAGGUAAAGAGGGAAUUAGAUUUGAUUAGGAGGAGGGGGAGGUAAACAGUAGAGGAGUGAAGAAGGCAGGUAAAGAGGGAAUUAGAUUUGAUUAGGAGGAGGGGGAGGUAAACAGUAGAGGAGUGAAGAAGGCAGGUAAAGAGGGAAUUAGAUUUGAUUAGGAGGAGGGGGAGGUAAACAGUAGAGGAGUGAAGAAGGCAGGUAAAGAGGGAAUUAGAUUUGAUUAGGAGGAGGGGGAG